rnacentral:rRNA from 1 species
CGGGGAAUUUUGGACAAUGGGGGAAACCCUGAUCAAGCCAUCCCGCGUGUGCGAUGAAGGCCUUCGGGUUGUAAAGCACUUUUGGCAGGAAAGAAACGUCAUGGGUUAAUACCCCGUGAAACUGACGGUACCUGCAGAAUAAGCACCGGCGAACUACGUGCCAGCAGCCGCGGUAAUACGUAGGGUGCAAGCGUUAAUCGGAAUUACUGGGCGUAAAGCGUGCGCAGGCGGUUCGGAAAGAAAGAUGUGAAAUCCCAGAGCUCAACUUUGGAACUGCAUUUUUAACUACCGGGCUAGAGUGUGUCAGAGGGAGGUGGAAUUCCGCUUGUAGCAGUGAAAUGCGUAGAUAUGCGGAGGAACACCGAUGGCGAAGGCAGCCUCCUGGGAUAACACUGACGCUCAUGCACGAAAGCGUGGGGAGCAAACAGG